rnacentral:rRNA from 1 species
CAGACCUCUAAUCGGAAAAGACUACCCGCUGAGUUUAAGCAUAUCACUAAGCGGAGGAGAAGAAACUAACCAGGAUUUCCCUAGUAACGGCGAGCGAACCGGAAAGAGCCCAGCUUGAAAAUCGUGGUGCCUCGUACCUCGAAUUGUAGUCUGGAGAAGGUCCCUCUGCGACGCGCCGGACCCAAGUUCCCUGGAAAGGGACGUCAGAGAGGGUGACAACCCCGUCGAGUCCGAAAUGCGUCGCUCCACGAGGACCUGUCUGCGAGUCGGGCUGUUUGGGAAUGCAGCCCUAAGUGGGUGGUAAAUUCCAUCCAAGGCUAAAUAUUGGCAAGAGACCGAUAGCGAACAAGUACCGCGAGGGAAA